UACGGGGGGGGCAAGCGUUGUUCGGAAUUACUGGGCGUAAAGGGCUCGUAGGCGGCCAACUAAGUCGGACGUGAAAUCCCUCGGCUUAACCGGGGAACUGCGUCCGAUACUGGAUGGCUGGAGUUCGGGAGAGGGAUGCGGAAUUCCAGGUGUAGCGGUGAAAUGCGUAGAUAUCUGGAGGAACACCGGUGGCGAAGGCGGCAUCCUGGACCGACACUGACGCUGAGGAGCGAAAGCCAGGGGAGCAAACGGG
rnacentral:rRNA from 1 species